rnacentral:rRNA from 1 species
UACGAAGGGGGCUAGCGUUGCUCGGAAUCACUGGGCGUAAAGGGUGCGUAGGUGGGUCUUUAAGUCAGGGGUGAAAUCCUGGAGCUCAACUCCAGAACUGCCUUUGAUACUGAAGAUCUUGAGUUCGGGAGAGGUGAGUGGAACUGCGAGUGUAGAGGUGAAAUUCGUAGAUAUCGAGAGGAACACCGGUGGCGAAGGCGGCCAACUGGACGAAUACCGACGCUGAGACACGAAAGCGUGGGGAGCAAACAGG